rnacentral:rRNA from 1 species
UUGGGCGUAAAGCGUCCGCAGGCGGCUUUUCAAGUCUGCUGUUAAAGCGUGGAGCUUAACUCCAUCAUGGCAGUGGAAACUGAGAGGCUUGAGUAUGGUAGGGGCAGAGGGAAUUCCCGGUGUAGCGGUGAAAUGCGUAGAUAUCGGGAAGAACACCAGUGGCGAAGGCGCUCUGCUGGGCCAUUACUGACGCUCAUGGACGAAAGCCAGGGGAGCGAAAGGGAUUAGAUACCCCUGUAGUCCUGGCCGUAAACGAUGAACACUAGGUGUCGGGGGAAUCGACCCCCUCGGUGUCGUAGCUAACGCGUUAAGUGUUCCGCCUGGGGAGUACGCACGCAAGUGUGAAACUCAAAGGAAUUGACGGGGGCCCGCACAAGCGGUGGAGUAUGUGGUUUAAUUCGAUGCAACGCGAAGAACCUUACCAGGGUUUGACAUCCUGCGAACCUCUUAGAAAUUUGAGGGUGCCUUCGGGAAUGCAGUGACAGGUGGUGCAUGGCUGUCGUCAGCUCGUGUCGUGAGAUGUUGGGUUAAGUCCCGCAACGAGCGCAACCCACGUUUUUAGUUGCCAGCAUUUAGUUGGGCACUCUAGAAAGACCGCCGGUGAUAAACCGGAGGAAGGUGUGGAUGACGUCAAGUCAUCAUGCCCCUUACACCCUGGGCUACACACGUACUACAAUGCUACGGACAAAGGGCAGCAAACUCGCGAGAGCUAGCAAAUCCCAUAAACCGUGGCUCAGUUCAGAUCGUAGGCUGCAACUCGCCUACGUGAAGUAGGAAUCGCUAGUAAUCGCAGGUCAGCAUACUGCGGUGAAUACGUUCCCGGGCCUUGUACACACCGCCCGUCACACCAUGGAAGUUGGCCAUGCCCGAAGUCGUUACUCCAACCCUUGUGGAGGAGGACGCCGAAGGUGGGGCUAAUGACUGGGGUGAAGUCGUAACAAGGUAACCGUA